GCCGGGUGUGGUGGCUCACGCCUGUAAUCCCAGCACUUCGGGAGGCUGAGAUGGGUGGAUCACUUGAGGCCAGGAGUUUGAGACCAGCCUGGCCAACAUGGUGAAACCCUGUCUCUA
rnacentral:SRP_RNA from 1 species